rnacentral:rRNA from 1 species
CCUACGGGAGGCAGCAGUGAGGAAUAUUGGUCAAUGGGCGCUAGUCUGAACCAGCCAAGUAGCGUGAAGGAUGACUGCCCUAUGGGUUGUAAACUUCUUUUAUAUGGGAAUAAAGUGCAGUAUGUAUACUGCUUUGCAUGUACCUUAUGAAUAAGGAUCGGCUAACUCCGUGCCAGCAGCCGCGGUAAUACGGAGGGGGCGAGCGUUAUCCGGAUUUACUGGGUGUAAAGGGGGCGCAGACGGCAAUGCAAGCCAGGUGUGAAAGCCCGGGGCCCAACCCCGAGACUGCUCUUGGAACUGCAUGGCUGGAGUACAGGAGGGGCAGGCGGAAUUCCUGGUGUAGCGGUGAAAUGCUUAGAUAUUAGGAGGAACACCGAUGGCGAAGGCAGCCUACUGGACUGUGACUGACGUUGAGGCCCGAAGGCGUGGGGAGCAAACAGGAUUAGAUACCCCUGUAGUC